UACGAGGGGUGCAAGCGUUGCUCGGAAUUAUUGGGCGUAAAGGGUAGGUAGGUGGUCUUAUUUGUCUGGGGUGAAAGCCUUGGGCUUAACUCAAGAAGUGCCCCAGAAACGGUAAGACUCGAGUCCUGGAGAGGGUCGUGGAAUUCCCGGUGUAGCGGUGAAAUGCGUAGAGAUCGGGAGGAACACCAGAGGCGAAAGCGGCGACCUGGACAGGCACUGACACUCAACUACGAAAGCGUGGGGAGCAAACAGG
rnacentral:rRNA from 1 species